UCCAUGUUGAUGGAAAAGUCCAUGGCUCUCUAAAAUUCCACUUCAGUGGUUCUCCGAUGAGCUUUAUUUCUGGACUUCAAAUGGAAAUUGGAAACACUGGCUGGCAUGACUGCCUAAAAACACAAGCAUGCCUGAGACCUCUGCUGAGGACCCACACCCACGACAGUGGCAAAGGAUGCGUCCCGCAUGGCUGCCUGCUGCCUGCCACAUCAUGGGCCAAUACUGACUGACCUCUCCAGGAAAAUGAGGGACCAGAACCGGCGAUAAGUGGUCAAGGGACUGAGCGGCAGUGCACGGCAGAUGGAGAGGAGAACGGGAUGUGGCAGAGCGCGAAGAUGAGAGAGAAAAGGGAUAAGAAGACUGGGACUUCAGAAGACAUUAAAGACUUAAGGCCACAGGACUAUUAAAUCAUGUGGGAUUUAAACUCCAGGCACUGACUCCAGAGCCUGGGUAAUUAACCUCUGGAUAGGAAAUUCAAGGUCUAACUGAGAUCACAGGCACACAGGGACAAACAAACAAAAAUGCUGGGACAAGGACACGAACAGAUGCACUGAAUAAUUCAGGCCCAGGCGACCUCAGAGUCUGAGUCCUCACGACAAAGGGAAGCCUCUUGGGUGAAGGAGCAGCAGUUCAUCCAGACAAAGCUGUGCGUGUUAUACCCCUGGACGGUCAGUUUGAACGGAAAACAGAGCUGACCUGCCCACCCAGAGCCUUCACAGAAACAAGGACUAUACUUUGCUCUGGUUGGAACCUUACUUAGGACUGUCACGACUUAAUGCCACCCCAUCCUCAGCAUCAAAGCUGUGCAGUUUGUGAGCUAUCAGUCGGACCUGUAGCUCCAUGGAUUCUGACUGUGGACUUUACCUACCCGACCAUAAUUCUUGUGGGGCCCUGCUGGGGGAUUUGUGUACUACAAGACAUGUAUUUUGAUUGCAAUUUACUUUCUGUUUUCCCCUCUUUAUAAUGGAGUAGAUAUUGCAGCUUUGGGUUAUGUGCAAGGGUGUGCAUGAAUAGGUCAGAGGUCAACUUUCAAAGUCUGCUAUCUUCUCCCACUAUGGGUCCUGGGGAUGGAACUCAGGUCCUCAGGAUGUGCGGUGAGUGCUUUUGCUGCCUGAGCAUCAUCUUGGUCCUGGACUACAGAGUUUUGCUUGAUCCGCCAUAUUCACCUGACCUCUUGCCAACUGAGUACUGCUUCUUCAAACAUCUUGAGAAUUUUUUUGCAGAGAAAAUGCUUCCAUAACCAGCAGGACAUAGAACAUUCUUGCCAAGACCUUGUUGAAUUCUAAAGCAUGAGUGUUAUACCACAGGAAGAAACAAACUGAUUUUUUCACUGGCAAAAACAGGUUGACCUGGGUGAAUCAGGUGACCUCUGAUUUUGAGGCCAGCCUGGGCUACAUUGUGAGUUCCUGGCCAAUUAGGGAUGCAUAGUUGAGACCCUGACUCCAAAAAUGGGGGAGUUGUUUAUAAUGACUCCAUUUAGUAAAGAUAUGUUUGAUUUUAUUUACAGUGAUACACGGUCUAAAAUCAUGAUUUCUUUUGCAUCAACAUAAGGGAAUGUCAUAGACCCUAGGAAGGCUAAGGAGGAAGAAAGGUUACUCUUCUGUGGUUACACAGAGGAGUUUGGGAGGCCCAUGGAAGUACACCACAGGGGCCAACUCAUGUCCUCCAUGACAUAUUUCAUUUUGGCAUGGCCUUGACUUGUCUCUGGUUCUUUUAGAUAACCUUGUUCUCCCUUGUUCUGGAAGGCCCUAAGGGACAGAACACGAUGCAUCCCCGGGCUGGAGUCUCUCCCAGGCCUGAGCACCAUGGCUGUGACGCUUUCUGGUUCUCUCCGCCAGGCUGAGUCUCCUGACUUCCUCCAACUGUCUCUCAUAUGACUUGGUUUCAGGUUCCUUUGCCAUCUGGGUGAUUUACUGCACAAGUUCCAGUUUGUCAAUGGUCUUUUAAAAGUAUGGUGCCAGAAUCAAAUGUGGUUUCCAGAGCAGAAAUGCAUAGCUGCAUUUCCCAGUGCUCUUAAAAGGAAAAGGUUCUUCCUUUUCAGAGAGCAGGAGGACAGGAAGGAGGAGGGGAAGAAGAGGGAGGGAAUAAGCUGUUUAAUCACUGCAUCUCAGUCCUGAAAGAUUUCCUUUUUGUUUAAGCAAAUUCCACU